CACAGCCCCGAACUCCAAACAAAGCGGGAACUGGCCGGCGUCCCUUAAUCCGGCCCAGCCCUUCUCCCUGAUCCGUUGCCCCAGGGCUCCCUCUGCUGGCAGACGGAAGUGGUGCUGCCCACGUGGCAGACUCUUGCCCUGGUCUCAGAUUCCCGGCCCUGGCCCCCGGCCUGAUUUACUCCUGUAGCUCCGCCUGACUAGUGACACCGCCUCUGCUCAGCUCCCAUAUCACCUCCUUGAUGACAUCUCAGGUCCCAGGCACAGCUUACAGAGUAUUUUAAAUGCAUGGCAGCUUGGCUUUUAUUUUGAAGAGUCUAAAUAUGAAGAGAUGAUCUCGACCUUAGAAACUAUCCAGACCUUGUAAGAGAGAUCCAAGGACAUAUCCAGAACUUAAAUAUAUUCUUGAAUACUUGGAAAAGAAACAUGAACAAGAUCCAAACAGGUGAUACAGGUAGAGUGUGUUAAACUGUAAUUUGGGAACACAUUUUGAACAUGUCAGGAAAAUAAAGGAUAAAUUUUUUUUUAAACCAUAUGUGUUUAUAUCGAUUCAGGUUAAGGAAGUGAAUCACAAGCUAUAUAAAAUUGAGGUAAACUGGAAAACUCAAAGGAAAGUACUGUAUCUACUCCCAGCCGCCCAGAACAAAAGAUCACAUUAAAAAAUCCAUGGUGUGAAUUCCCUCCUUGGGCCAGAAGGGAGGAGAGAUGGGUUUCCCUGCAAGUCUGCCGACUGCACCCUGCCCUCCCUGAUGUAGCAGAGCUCCUCAGUGCAGAAGCAGAUACAAGUGCGUUCCUCGGACCCUGAGGCCCAGCCCCAAACCUGCUCUCAGCAGGCCGAGUGGAGCCAUGAUGGGCCCCUGUGGACAUACACCUGCAGGGAGCGGGCUCCUCCCGAAGUCACGUCUCCGGUUGGCUGAGGUCAGUGCUGGCCUCAGACCCCGCUGGGUCCCAAUCUUCUUCCCCACUUUCCUUUUCAUUUCUUUACUUUAUACCCAGAGAAUGCUUCUUCUAUUUCACUGUUCUAAAAACAAAACAAAACCAGAAAAGGGAGGUAGGUAAGCAGGGACGGAGAGGGCACAGAGAACCUAAAAGUGCCGAGAACGCUACCAGACGAGGACGGCCCGUGCCACUGCCCAGUGAGCCCGAGUCCUCUGGGCCUCGUGCACCCCAACCACACAGGCCCACCCGUGGGGCAGCAGCUCCCGCACACCCUUCCUCCACGCCAUGCCUCCCCACCUGGAUCUGAAAAGUGGCCAGAGAGCCUGGCAAGGCAAGCAAACCCCCGGAAAGGCCACCAUCUUUGUAAGAGCCAGCUCACUAGAGUGUUUCCUCAUCCUUAUCCCCGGAGGUGGAUCAUCUUACGCAGUGUCUGCAACACAUGCUUUCCGUUCUCGUUAUUACAGUAACUCCUGAUCGCACACCCCGCCCCACACUUCCAGUGUCCUCUGCCCCGCAAAGGGGCCACGAAGUGCAGGCGGAGCUCACUGCGCGGGCGCCACUAACAACCGUCGUCCCGUGCUCAC
rnacentral:lncRNA from 1 species